rnacentral:rRNA from 1 species
UACGUAGGUGGCAAGCGUUAUCCGGAUUUACUGGGUGUAAAGGGCGUGUAGGCGGGAGAGCAAGUCAGACGUGAAAUUCCAGGGCUCAACCCUGGAACUGCGUUUGAAACUGUUCAUCUUGAGUGAUGGAGAGGCAGGCGGAAUUCCGUGUGUAGCGGUGAAAUGCGUAGAUAUACGGAGGAACACCAGUGGCGAAGGCGGCCUGCUGGACAUUAACUGACGCUGAGGCGCGAAAGCGUGGGGAGCAAACAGG